rnacentral:rRNA from 1 species
GAUGAACGCUGGCGGCGUGCCUAAUACAUGCAAGUCGAGCGAAUGGAUUAAGAGCUUGCUCUUAUGAAGUUAGCGGCGGACGGGUGAGUAACACGUGGGUAACCUGCCCAUAAGACUGGGAUAACUCCGGGAAACCGGGGCUAAUACCGGAUAACAUUUUGAACCGCAAGGUUCGAAAUUGAAAGGCGGCUUCGGCUGUCACUUAUGGAUGGACCGGCGUCGCAUUAGCUAGUUGGUGAGGUAAAGGCUCACCAAGGCAACGAUGCGUAGCCGACCUGAGAGGGUGAUCGGCCACACUGGGACUGAGACACGGCCCAGACCCCUACGGGAGGCAGCAGUAGGGAAUCUUCCGCAAUGGACGAAAGUCUGACGGAGCAACGCCGCGUGAGUGAUGAAGGCUUUCGGGUCGUAAAACUCUGUUGUUAGGGAAGAACAAGUGCUAGUUGAAUAAGCUGGCACCUUGACGGUACCUAACCAGAAAGCCACGGCUAACUACGUGCCAGCCGCCGCGGUAA